rnacentral:rRNA from 1 species
AUUGAACGCUGGCGGCAGGCCUAACACAUGCAAGUCGAGCGGCAGCGGGAAAGUAGCUUGCUACUUUUGCCGGCGAGCGGCGGACGGGUGAGUAAUGCCUGGGGAUCUGCCCAGUCGAGGGGGAUAACUACUGGAAACGGUAGCUAAUACCGCAUACGCCCUACGGGGGAGAGCAGGGGACCUUCGGGCCUUGCGCGAUUGGAUGAACCCGGGUGGGAUUAGCUAGUUGGUGAGGUAAUGGCUCACCAAGGCGACGAUCCCUAGCUGGUCUGAGAGGAUGAUCAGCCACACUGGAACUGAGACACGGUCCAGACUCCUACGGGAGGCAGCAGUGGGGAAUAUUGCACAAUGGGGGAAACCCUGAUGCAGCCAUGCCGCGUGUGUGAAGAAGGCCUUCGGGUUGUAAAGCACUUUCAGCGAGGAGGAAAGGUUGGUAGCUAAUAACUGCCAGCUGUGACGUUACUCGCAGAAGAAGCACCGGCUAACUCCGUGCCAGCCGCCGCCGUAAUAC